rnacentral:lncRNA from 1 species
GAGAGAGGUAGCUAGCAAUACCAUUAUAGGGUCUCGCAUCAGAUUGGGAAACCCCAAAUCAUUUGGUGGGUGGUAUACAUCAAAAAGUGCAAAUUUACGCACCAAAAUGAAGGAGACUUUUAAAAGAAGAUUGUGUAGCGCUCAAAGAAAUCCAAGCUACGAGAAACACUUGCUGAUAUCCGUUUGCGUACAACCACGAAUCUGGCCAGCUCCACCUAG